GGCAUUAAGCGUAUUAUUUAAUGUUUGGCCUGCCCUAUGAUAAAGAUUAAAUGGCCGCAGUAUUUUGACUGUGUAAAGGUAGCAUAAUCAAUUGUCUAUUAAUUGUAGACUUGAAUGAAAGGUUGGACUUAGUUUUGCUUUUUUGGUUAUUAAAUGGUGAAUUUAUAUGUUUUGUAAGAAUACUGGAAGGAGCUUAAGGGACGAGAAGACCCUGUUGAGCUUUAUAUUUGUAUUUAUUUUGGCUUAAUGGAAGGUGCAAUAAAUUAUUAUAUUUUACUGGGGCGGUAGAUUUACAAUAAACGUAGUUUAUGUGAUCCGUUAAAAACGAUUAGAGGAUUAAGUUACUGCAGGGAUAACAGCUUAAUUUUGUCUGAAAGAUCUUAUUGAUGAUAACGUUUGUGACCUCGAUGUUGGUUUAAGGUGUCUAUAUAGAGGCAUAAAAUUUAUAAGAUGGUUUGUUCAACCAUUAAAACCUUAUG
rnacentral:rRNA from 1 species